rnacentral:rRNA from 1 species
UACGUAGGGUGCGAGCGUUAAUCGGAAUUACUGGGCGUAAAGCGUGCGCAGGCGGUUCGUUGUGUCGGUGGUGAAAGCCCCGGGCUUAACCUGGGAAUGGCCGUCGAAACUGGCGAACUGGAGUGUGGCAGAGGGGGGUGGAAUUCCGCGUGUAGCAGUGAAAUGCGUAGAGAUGCGGAGGAACACCGAUGGCGAAGGCAGCCCCCUGGGCUGACACUGACGCUCAGGCACGAAAGCGUGGGGAG